rnacentral:rRNA from 1 species
GACGAACGCUGGCGGCGCGCCUAACACAUGCAAGUCGAACGAGCGAGCGAGAGCUUGCUUUCUCGAGCGAGUGGCGAACGGGUGAGUAACGCGUGAGGAACCUGCCUCAAAGAGGGGGACAACAGUUGGAAACGACUGCUAAUACCGCAUAAGCCCACGGGUCGGCAUCGACCAGAGGGAAAAGGAGCAAUCCGCUUUGAGAUGGCCUCGCGUCCGAUUAGCUAGUUGGUGAGGUAAUGGCCCACCAAGGCGACGAUCGGUAGCCGGACUGAGAGGUUGAACGGCCACAUUGGGACUGAGACACGGCCCAGACUCCUACGGGAGGCAGCAGUGGGGAAUAUUGCACAAUGGGGGAAACCCUGAUGCAGCGACGCCGCGUGGAGGAAGAAGGUCUUCGGAUUGUAAACUCCUGUUGGUGGGGAAGAUAAGGACGGUACCCAACAAGGAAGUGACGGCUAACUACGU